AGGGGGUUUUGACCCUGGCUCAGGACGAACGCUGGCGGCGUGCCUAAUACAUGCAAGUCGAGCGGAUUGAUCGGAGCUUGCUCCCUGAUAUCAGCGGCGGACGGGUGAGUAACACGUGGGCAACCUGCCUAUAAGACUGGGAUAACUUCGGGAAACCGGAGCUAAUACCGGAUAAUACCUUUCCUCUCAUGAGGAAAGGUUGAAAGAUGGUUUACGCUAUCACUUAUAGAUGGGCCCGCGGCGCAUUAGCUAGUUGGUGAGGUAACGGCUCACCAAGGCAACGAUGCGUAGCCGACCUGAGAGGGUGAUCGGCCACACUGGGACUGAGACACGGCCCAGACUCCUACGGGAGGCAGCAGUAGGGAAUCUUCCGCAAUGGACGAAAGUCUGACGGAGCAACGCCGCGUGAGUGAUGAAGGUUUUCGGAUCGNAAAACUCUGUUGUUAGGGAAGAACAAGUACGAGAGUAACUGCUCGGACCUUGGCGGGACCUAACCAGAAAGGCCACGGCUAACUUCGUGCCAGCA
rnacentral:rRNA from 1 species